GUAAAUGUUAACACACGUUUUUUAGACAUUUAUUUUAAUUUUUGUAUUGUAUAAUUCUAGAUGCUGAACUGAUUUUCAAUAAAAAAGCUAAAUCUCCAACUGGAUUACUAAAAGAUGAUGAUAGUCAAGGUAAAUGUUAACACACGUUUUUUAGACAUUUAUUUUAAUUUUUGCAUUGUAUAAUUCUAGAUACAGAACUGAUUUUCAAUCAAAAAGCUAAAUCUCCAACUGGAUUACUAAAAGAUGAUGAUAAUAGUCAAGGUAACACAUAUUUAACACAUAAAUUCUUUAAAACUUAUUUUAUUAUUUUAUUUUAUAUUCAGAUCUUAUAUUCACCCAAUAUUCUCCUCCAACUCAUGGCAGACACUCAUCAAGCUCUCCAAAUUAUUUUGAUGCAAUAAAUGAUAACAACUUUGGACCAAGGAUUAGUAAUUACAUUGUUAGUCCAUAUAAAAAUGCUGUAGCUUCAGACAAGGAGGUUAAUAAUGACCAACAGAGUGUAAGUCCUGAGAUGUUUCAUCAAUCACCAGUAUUUAAAAAACUUCCUUCAUCAACUCAAUAUAACAUUCUCAGUGGUGGAG